rnacentral:rRNA from 1 species
GACGAACGCUGGCGGCGUGCCUAAUACAUGCAAGUCGAACGCAGUGGGGACGGGUGAGUAACACGUGGGUAACCUCCCAUCAGAGGGGAUAACACUUGGAAACAGGUGCUAAACCGAUACUGAUGGAUGGACCCGCGGUGCAUUAGCUAGUUGGUGAGGUAACGGCUCACCAAGGCCACGAUGCAUAGCCGACCUGAGGGGGUGAUGGGACACAGUGGGACUGAGACACGGCCCGGAGUCCUGCGAGAGGCAGCAGUAGGGAAUCUACGACAAUGGGAGGAAGUCUGAGCGAGGAACGCCGCGGGAGUGAAGAAGGUUUUCGGAUCGUGAAACUCUGUUGUUGGAGAAGCGGUAUCUAACCAGAAGGCCACGGCUAGCUGCGUGCCGGCAGCCGCGGUAAUUC